AUCACGCUACUAAUUAAAUUACUUUAAUUAAAAUUGGAUUAAAAUAUACCCCUCUACAAAAUCCUUGGGUGACGCCCGCGAAGAUCCAACUACGAUUUUUCGGUACACAGGCGCGCCAAUAGAAAGAAAAUCGAUGAUUGUCGAUUUCUAGUUUAGUUGGUCACGAACUCACAAAGAGGCAACACAUCGUCAUUACUUAGGUGACGGAGUUAGGGCAAAAUUGGGAAAAUAUAUAACUAAAGACCUCGAACAUCAGCCAAUAACCCAUACUAAUAAUAAUCAAGCAGUAGUUAUAUCUGGAGGCUUAUUUACAAGAAAGGAAAAAGGUUAUAAUACCGCCGAUGUGUUGCUUUGCUCAAGUGAGUAUAUUGAUAUAUUUCUCUUUAUUUCUUCAUUAUAAAAUCAAAUUCACCAUCCUAGAUAUCUCGUUCGUUAUCUGUAGAUAUUAAUUUCAGUUAAGAAAUAAUUUAAAUGUCACAUUAUAAGUUAUAUUACGGUAAGGAUAUUCGUUUCCAUUUGCAAAGGAACAGUCAAGGCCAUAUGUUUUAGUGCUAAAGUUAAAUUCCAAUUUCUCAUUAGACUUUUUGCUCUAGGUUUUUUUGAGGUAAUAAUAUAAAAAAGUUUUAACGAAUAUCAGACAUGUCAUGCGCAUGUCCCUGCCAUGUCUGAUUUGAUGAUUUGAGUUAGUUUCAGUUUGACAUGACAUAUGUAUACCUAACCUGAGUUUUUUUUGUUUUGGUUUCCAGUGCAGUGACCCUGUGCUGUCUACACAUAGUGUUAUAAAUAAUGUAAUUAAAUUGAUAAAAUUUAUUUUAGAUUCCGUCCCGUAGCUACUUGUCACAUAGACACUUAGACUAGUCAAUUUAUAUAGAUUGUAUCAUCAUUUAAUGUGCCAUCAUAUAAAUAUGUGCCAGUUAUUGUAAGCAGCUAGGGUAUGGGUUACCCCUAGAGUUACUUUUGAUUGGAUUGGAUAGUACCUAUUUCACAACAUCCAGGAUUGGAUUUAUCACCACAGCAGCCCACUAGUUUUUGCCGUGCCAAGAGGAAAUUCAUUCCUAUCUGGACCUUUUUAAAUAGGACUUGUGGUUAAGAUAAGUGUUUAAUCUUAUUAUUUACAUAUUUUGGGUACUCUAUAGUUGCUUGCACUGUAAACUUCUUGUAUGCAUACAAUUGAGGUAAACUAGGUACAUAUUUCUUGAUAGAUAGGGUUUUAGGUCGUUGGUUUUUUUUUUUGAUUUAAUAUAAGUAGUAGUUUCCAAUAAAUAAAAUUAGGUCUUGUUCAAUAAUCAUUAUAAAUAAUAAUUGUAGCUUAAAAAAUUGAUAGGGAAGGGGUCGUUAAAGGUUUGUCGCGGAUUUCAAAUAGGGAAUAUGUCUUGUAGGUUUUUACAUUGUAUAUAAAGAGUAACUGACCAACUCAUUUAUACAACUCAUUUAUAUCACUCAUUUAUAUAACUCAUUUAUACAACUCAUUUAUAUCACUCAUUUAUAUAACUCAUUUAUACAACUCAUUUAUAUCACUCAUUUAUAUAACUCAUUUAUAUAACUCAUUAUAUAUUUACUUAUUAGUGUUUUUGCUAGGUGAGAUCUUUAUUAUUUUUGGUAACCGUAGCGUUCUUGUUGUGGAUCUCACUCUAGCGUAGUUCAAUUUAGGAAAUAAUUACUAACUUUUUAGUUGUAAGGACUUAGUGCUAUUCUGACGGACUUUUGAUUUGGAUUUUGAUUUUAAUACUUUUGCCUGGCCAGUGAUAGUGGAUAAUUGCUUGUUGAGUGGCCUUUGCGGUCCUAUUUUAUCUUUUCCCCAUCCUCUAUCACUGUUAUUACGUUGCGUUAUAUGUAAAGUGUUAACAUUUAAUAUUUAUUAUUAAUAUAUUUGUAUGUAUUAAGGUUGGUGUUUUAUUUCAGUCUGUAUUACCAGUAUAUGACAUAGCAAGACAAGCUCAGUAUUUAGUAUUUUGUAUUUCAGGUGGUUGUAACCAGUGUCAUAGAGUUCCCAUUGUUCAUUACUUCAAAAUCUCGAACCUGUCCAACUUCUUGGUUCUGAGAGCCGAGUUGUUCGUUCGAGUUGGCGCCCUUUUUUCUUCUUCUUUCUUUGUUGUAACUCGAUAUUAUUUUAUCUCUAGCAUUCUUAUCUAUUUUCCUUCCAUUUUUGUAUUAACAGUCUCAUUUCCUUCCUAGUUACUAUCAUUUCAUUACCAAAUUUUCUUCUCAUAUCUCUAAAGCCAAUAUUCGGUGUAUGGAAGCUAGCCCGAAUACUCAUACUUGAGAUUUAGUGUCUCUCUGCCCUUUUGAUUUUUUUUCCUUCUGAGCUAAGCCCCUCUUCUUUUGUCUUAAAUCUCUUAUCAUUUAUUUUACCCAUCUUUAUUCAGUUCUUCUCUUCAAAAAUCUCUAUACCCAGAGUAUAGAGGUUUCAAUUGGCGCCCAACGUGAAAGCUUCAUUAGCUUCAGGAGUCCACACAAUAUUUUGUCCCUUUUUCCUAUUUUGAAGUAAGUCAGUAAUAGGGGACAACAAGGUAGAAUAAGACUUAACAAACUUUUUAUAGUAACCCACCAUUCCUAACAAUCGACGAACCUGGGUGGUAUUCUUAGGCACAGGAAAAUCACGAAUAGCUGACACUUUGUCAGGGUCAGUAUGUAGGCCGUGAGAAUCAACAACAUAUCCUAAAAACUUAAUAGAAUUUGUUCGCUCUAGUGUCAAUGUUGGGUAAAGUUAAUAGGAUGCGUUUAGGUUAAUUGUUGUUUAUGGUUCUUAGUUAUAUUGUGUUAAGGGUUGUUAAUACACACCUGUAAUUUAGUUUUAAUCAUGGGUUUACUAACACUUGAGAAUGUAGAUAGUAAGUAGUGUUAAGAGUUAACUUACUCUAUAAGAUUGUAUAAUUAUAUUUAGAAUGUUAGUGAUUAACGCGUAAUUAUUUGUUUUUCUCUAUCUUUGGUUUUACUAAAUUAAAGUAAAUUAUCUUGUUGAAUAACUUAUGUCAGUCAGUUACGUAUGUCGGUUAGUUACACAUCCCUUCUAUGUUCUAUACUUUCUGCAAGUACCAUUAAAGAUAUCUCGCGUGGCCUCUAUACUGUCUGUAUGACUUCGUCCUGAUUUUUGUUCUGUCUCCUCAGCAAAUAGUAUGGCUGUUGAGCCUACCAAAAUUAUGGUUUUAUACCACAACGUUUCUCCUUUACCGUGUCCAUCCUCAGGUUCGCCUAGCGUCAGUUAGUUCUGGAAAAUAAAAAAAAAGGAAACUUGUAGAGUUUUCCUUUUUUUGCUGGAGAAGAGGGAGAAUGUAGCGAUCACGCUACUAAUUAAAUUACUUUAAUUAAAAUUGGAUUAAAAUAUACCCCUCUACAAAAUCCUUGGGUGACGCCCGCGAAGAUCCAACUACGAUUUUUCGGUACACAGGCGCGCCAAUAGAAAGAAAAUCGAUGAUUGUCGAUUUCUAGUUUAGUUGGUCACGAACUCACAAAGAGGCAACACAUCGUCAUUACUUAGGUGACGGAGUUUGGGCAAAAUUGGGAAAAUAUAUAACUAAAGACCUCGAACAUCAGCCAAUAACCCAUACUAAUAAUAAUCAAGCAGUAGUUAUAUCUGGAGGCUUAUUUACAAGAAAGGAAAAAGGUUAUAAUACCGCCGAUGUGUUGCUUUGCUCAAAUUCCGUCCCGUAGCUACUUGUCACAUAGACACUUAGACUAGUCAAUUUAUAUAGAUUGUAUCAUCAUUUAAUGUGCCAUCAUAUAAAUAUGUGCCAGUUAUUGUAAGCAGCUAGGGUAUGGGUUACCCCUAGAGUUACUUUUGAUUGGAUUGGAUAGUACCUAUUUCACAACAUCCAGGAUUGGAUUUAUCACCACAGCAGCCCACUAGUUUUUGCCGUGCCAAGAGGAAAUUCAUUCCUAUCUGGACCUUUUUAAAUAGGACUUGUGGUUAAGAUAAGUGUUUAAUCUUAUUAUUUACAUAUUUUGGGUACUCUAUAGUUGCUUGCACUGUAAACUUCUUGUAUGCAUACAAUUGAGGUAAACUAGGUACAUAUUUCUUGAUAGAUAGGGUUUUAGGUCGUUGGUUUUUUUUUUGAUUUAAUAUAAGUAGUAGUUUCCAAUAAAUAAAAUUAGGUCUUGUUCAAUAAUCAUUAUAAAUAAUAAUUGUAGCUUAAAAAAUUGAUAGGGAAGGGGUCGUUAAAGGUUUGUCGCGGAUUUCAAAUAGGGAAUAUGUCUUGUAGGUUUUUACAUUGUAUAUAAAGAGUAACUGACCAACUCAUUUAUACAACUCAUUUAUAUCACUCAUUUAUAUAACUCAUUUAUACAACUCAUUUAUAUCACUCAUUUAUAUAACUCAUUUAUACAACUCAUUUAUAUCACUCAUUUAUAUAACUCAUUUAUAUAACUCAUUAUAUAUUUACUUAUUAGUGUUUUUGCUAGGUGAGAUCUUUAUUAUUUUUGGUAACCGUAGCGUUCUUGUUGUGGAUCUCACUCUAGCGUAGUUCAAUUUAGGAAAUAAUUACUAACUUUUUAGUUGUAAGGACUUAGUGCUAUUCUGACGGACUUUUGAUUUGGAUUUUGAUUUUAAUACUUUUGCUUGGCCAGUGAUAGUGGAUAAUUGCUUGUUGAGUGGCCUUUGCGGUCCUAUUUUAUCUUUUCCCCAUCCUCUAUCACUGUUAUUACGUUGCGUUAUAUGUAAAGUGUUAACAUUUAAUAUUUAUUAUUAAUAUAUUUGUAUGUAUUAA